UAAUGCGUUUAUAUCGACAAUUAUUAAUCUCGACUGUCAGGUUAAUCCGUUCCACGAAACACGUGGCCUCAUUUUCAAAGUCUACGUUUCUUUUCCAAGCUCUCUGCCAUAUCUCAUUUUCAUUCUCACCGAAAACCGAACCAAUCGAGAUUUGAAUGGCACACUGUCACUUGUUAAUAAACCAUCCACAUCACAUGUGCUUUGACACAUCGAAAUAAUAUCAUGAUAAUAAUAAUUUUAUUGAACCACUAAGAAUAUCGAAAUCAUUGACAUUAGCCAGAGAACUAAUACCAUAAUAAUGUAUUAUGUCCGAAAA